rnacentral:rRNA from 1 species
UACUUGUAAAACGUUUUUGGUGUGCUUGUUAGAAAAUGUAAUAUGCCGGUAAAAAGUAUAGGCAACUUUAAAAAGUUUUUGACGUUUUCGAGUACCUCACUCCCUUGAAAAUUUUUUCCACUUUUGUUUUUUCAUUUAUCCUUGUUGUUUUUCUUGGUUUUUGUUAGCUUGCUCUUUUGCUCUUUGCCGUCGAAUCACCCGGCCCGGUACGCCUUCGUUGACGUCCGCUCGCCCCGCACGCUGAGCGGCUCUCGCUCUGUCAAACGCGGGCUCGUUCGUGCGAGCACGCGAGCCGGCGCGCCUGCGAGGCGGGCCGCGGGACGGCCGGCUCGCGGUGGCUAGCUCUGCGCGCGACUUACUACGCACCUCCCCUCCGCCGACCACGUGGGGGCCACCUUCUAGGCGCGCGGCCCGUAGGUCUCGAGGGCGCCUCGCCUCCGCCUCGCUCAACACGAGCGCGGUGAGGGAGAGGACGAGAGGGAGACGCGAGGUCCACGAGCGCCUUUACGGCGCGUCGAACUGUGGAGGCGGCCGGUAACACGAACCUCGCGGUACUCGCUGUCCGCGUCUGUAGUGUGGAGGGACCAGAGACAGAUUGGCGCAGGAGAGGUAAAGGAACUCUGGCACUCGGGACUCGCACGUCUGUGGUGCGCUGGUGCCGCUCGUGAGCAGCAGAGCAGUUCCAGUUCCAGUUCGUGAGCAGCAGAGCGGAGACAGAUUCGUAACAGCAGUGAGUGGAAGGUCCUUCAAAGCGCCUCGGCCUCUGACGGAGACGGCUAACGCGUAAAAGAAACGCAGACGUCAGUCGGAGAGUACAGAUCGUCAUGUGCGCAAGUAACGUCAGUUUCCAGUUCGUCUUAGCUGUUGUGGUACCGGUGGGUACAGGGUGUCUUGUGACAUGACACACCGAUAGACGAGGUGGGUGGAGAUGGCGAUGAAGUCCUGUCCUAGCUCCGUCUGUCAAAGAGCACACGACGAGCGUCAAUUUGUCGACUGUCCGUUAGAUGAGACGAAGUUAGGGUUCUUCCUCUCUCCACCACGUCUAUACCGCGUCACCUUGCCGUACCUCGUCCGUCGCUGAUAGCGCGUCGACCACCCCCACCUACGCAACCCCGAGUAGAGCUGCUAACAUGUCCGUCGUGUCUGUCAAGUCGCGUUGUUCCUCUGGACGGUCCUCGAACACGUCCUACACGUCAACUAUUUACCGGACGAUGCCUACGACGUUUUGGGUCUUUACUAAAUCGCUCUUCUCUAACAUUUACGUGAGUUACCCGACCUCCCCUGCGAGGCCCUCCGCAUGUCGGAGCAGUCGAGGACGGUCCUGACGUCGUGGUGUAUAGCGUAUAAGUACCUUACCUUUGUGUGACUGGUCAAGGCUGCGCACUUCUUCUUCUAACGGUUCGUGGAGGCGAAGAUGGGAUACUAGAAGGUACGACUGUAUUGAACAGCAGAGCUUUCUUAUUCGUUGCCGUGCGACAGCUGCACGAGUAGAGUCCUGCGUCCUCCUCACGACUGUAGUAGAUAGUCAGUGAGUUUGAGACUUCGAGUCAGUCUUAAGUAGUUAAACCAGAUGCAUGAAUGAAACAAUCGUUCGUGUUCCUUUAUCUCUAUGAAUUAGACAACGAACCAAUGACGUUCUUCACCGGUGUUGUAAUAAAGGUUUUGUAAAUCAAUGUAUGUAUUUUAUCAAUGAAAAUAGAGAAUUGGUACUUAAAAGUCCUGACUUACAUCAAAUGCCGGACAACUUAAUCUUUCUAGCGUCCGUACGUCCUCGCGACUCAGGUAACGACAACUCCUUGUGGUCGAUUGUUCAAUGGUCCUUUAACGACUUGGAAAACGAUCCUUCGUCUUCAAGGCCACCCCAGUGACAAACGGGACCUUUUACCAUCUUUGUCGAGGAACAUAAGUACUUGAGUUGCCUAGUCCCAAAAGUCCAAAAGUAAAGAGGGUUAACAACCGACGAUGUUUAUUAAAACGUAAGGUUACGUUUUAAUCUUCAACACCUAUGCGACUACACAUAUUCCCUGCUAACCUGUCACCUGAACUUCAGUACUAGUUUUCUAAAGUAGUUUUAUUGAGGGUAAGAAGUGAGUGUAAACUUUUACUUCAGGCGAAAGUACGUUUCGAAGAUGUGUUUUUGCAACGAUUCGAGUAACCUACAACGUCACUUUCUCCUCUUCGUGAAAAUCAGAUACUUAGAGAUGGUUUACCCUCAAACAGACUGUGCCAUUGACCUUGUUCCCACAGCGAGUUGACCAGACUCGCGAAGUUUUAUUAAAAUCCCUAUCGGGCGCCCCACCGGAUAGAUGUACUAACGACACCCUAUGUUUAAUACGUACCCCUAAAUUUAGGUGUUUCCUAAGAGAAUCUAAGAAUGUACUGAGGAUUCUAAUGACUAAAACGAAAACGUUUUCACACAUCAGGCCUACCCGCACUUGCUGUGUUCCCAUCAAAUGAGCCAUGUUCCCCAAUAUACCUAGGACCUAUACAAUAACUGGCAUAGAUGAGUCAAUUCUCACUGCACAUAUCGAAGCCAUAGUGAGAAGAACUCUAUUAAUGACGUUUCUCCGGGCUACGUGAAAAGUUCCUACGUCCACUAGAACAGUCUAACGGCUGUUACCGUCCUAGUUACCUCUACAUGGUGUACUAUCUAGGUCGUAACGUACCACUUAGUUUUUACCGGCUCUAUUACUCUACGUAAGUCUAGCGCCAUACCACGAGGUCCGGGUUACGCCCUCUGGCCGGGUCGUACACCCUACAAGAAGACUACGAGUCGACGCUCUCACGUUGGAAUGCACACGGCCUCGGUAGGGUCUCGGUCACGCUGUGUGUCCUCGGCACACUUCCCCACGAUAGCCUAAGCCUCUAUUGACUUGGUUCUAUCAUGAGGAAACCCGCUAAGUUCCGGUGUCUAAAGUAGCCCUAGAUGUACCGCGGGUCUCCUAUAAAUUCAUGUCAUGAGAGAGGCUAGGUUUAAUUAACUGGAUCGAGAUCAUCUUGAGUACCCUCAUUAAAUAAAUCAACUCAUAAACGCGUAGACACCUCGCUACUAUACCCAUGUAUUGGUAAAGAAAAACGUGCACACACAGUGAGCAAUACUAGUGAGUUAGUGUAACAUCUGUGUCGUACUUAGAGGAGUCAAAGAGUGGUUCAUGGGACAUCACAUCCACACGUAGCACGACAAAUAAGAAUUGAAACUUCUCUUCCAAUAUCUACACACUUGGGACGUUACAUGUGGUACAAAGUAGAACUAACAUAGCAGCACGUUUUUAGUUCGGCAGACUUCGCGGAUCGAAUAGGUUACAUUCGCGGAUCGGUUGGCCGUUCCUCGCGUCCGCCGCCGCUUCCCGUCACUGUGACACAGCGCACCGGCGGAUCACGCAGACUUCGUCGAGGACUUAGGACUACGUAGUAUCGAACCCGGAGGAUGCCACAACACCGUGCAACGGAACGGUGGAGCAACGGGAGUUUCACAAACUGUUUUACUGCGAAUUACAACAAGUUGAUCUUUCGUCCAAAGCGGUUAUCUUACUAUGCAUUCGAAACACAUAAACUCUUUUUUCUUUCGUCCAAAGUGGUUUGGUGCGCGUAGCCUGAUUCCUUCGCCGUCGUGUUCUUUUUUGGACGAUUUCACAGACUUCACUUAACUUACGAAAGAGGUAAAAUGGACAGGAAAAGACAACCGGCACGAUCUCAAAAGGGUAAACUUACCGAUCUAUAAAGCAUAUUACAUGUACGGAGACAGUUUAUAUCUAUACAAACGGAAUAUGGUUAAAUAUACAAAAUUGUAUUAGUUACUACGAACUAAUUAAAUCUAUCAUAUUGGGACUAUGCGCCCUCGAGGAAAAUUGGCGGACAAAAUCAUUAUACUACUAUCUAAUCGGACUCCUUAGUCUUGGAUGUAUCAAGGUAAAUCGUAGACUUUGUAACAAAAAUACACAUACUAUUUUUUUUAGUACUGGGGGAGGGAGGAGUAAAAACAUUACAUCAGCUGCGGUAGUACACAUAGUUUGAACUCAUACCUCAUUACUUUUUGACCUACCCACUAGGUACAAAGGGUUGGUUUAUACGUACCCUGCCGCACUUUACAUCGUCGUGUUGACCAUUGCGAUGCUCCUAUUAUAGAGAUUUAAACAGUCAGUUGGCAGACUUACCGAGCGAAGGUCUAAGGGAGACAUUUUUAUUACGUCCUAGAAUGCAAAAGUCCAAACCCAAAAGGACAAUUGGAAAAAAAGAUAAUUAUACGCAGGUUUACACUUUACACCUCACAAGAAGAAAGACGCUAGAAUGUGUACAUGCCUACAUUGUUUAAAUUCUAACAGAAGGUGUGGUUUAUGAGACUUGACUAACAUCAUUCAUUAAAUUCCAUACUUAGACUAGUUCUGUACACGUUGGUUUGUUAAUCGGGCAGAAGUAGCUCUUUAUCUUGUAGAUAGUAUAGAUAAAGUCAUAACCAAGGACGUGACCAUCACCGACAUGAACAGUAAAGUAUAGACCAGACCUCCGUCUUUUCUUUCGGAUUGUCACUCACACGAGAAUACCAGAAUAGAAGAUAUUGUACAUAGUUACCCCUAAUAGUACCAAAUGGUAUAAAUCAUAAAUACAAUAUAGAUAGUAAACGUGCUGGUCAAAGAUGAGCACUAGGACGGUGUCCGUCUUGAACACCCUCGAGGUCAAUCAUCCUUUCCAGUGUCCCUCGUGGACCUUUUAUGACUCUUAGCGGCUAAGUGUAUGUUCCUCAACCUCUUCAAAUGUUUAUUCAAACUUUCCAAGUAACCUGUUCCUCCAAAACCCGAACAUAUGAUACCAGCAAAUCUUCUGUUAUGACUCCAACGACAGUUCUUGAGUUCUACGCAACUUUCCAAGUAACCUGUUCCUCCAGAACCCGAACAUAUGAUACCAGCAAAUCUUCUGUUAUGACUCCAACGACAGUUCUACACAAGGCUCAGGAGCAGUGUACCUGGGCUACUCAAGAAUCGACUCCAUGGUUAAAACUAGUGGAUUUUCUGUAAUCUUAAAACGGCCACCCUAAGGACUGUUUAAUUCUCUAAUAGCAGUACAAGAGAGAGAGCAAUGGAUCCAAGUCUCGAACUGUUUCCACAUAGUGUCCUUAGAUCAUAGUAACCAACCAAAGACGACCCUCUUUCUAGUAAACCGUGACCAAAUACUCAUGUACAGAGUUCCGUUAGAAAUACUAGUAGACUCUCCAAACAGGUAACGUUUGCAUUGGUGACUAAUGCACUAAUUCUCUCUUGUUGACACAUCGCCAGAGUCUAGCGUAUGUUAAAGACACGUAACAAGUUCUGUAACAGAGUUAAGGCUUCAUCAAAAGCCG